UUAGAAAUGGACAAGAGAACUCGCACUCAAGAGAAACCCUUUAAAUGAAGUAACUAAGAAAAAAGUUCAUCAAAUAUACUUUAAAGCACAUAUGAAAACUUAGGAGAAAAACUCUUUGUAUGUGGAGAAUGUGGGAAAGCCUUCAUUAAUUCCUCCUGUCUUGAUGAACGCGUAAGAACUGAUACUGAGGAGAAGAACUCUGCUUAUAAAAAGAAUGCAUGGGAGCCUUUAGUCAUUUCUCAUUUCCUUAAUGAAAGAAAAGGACUCAUAUUGGAAAGAAGCCUGGUAAAUCUAAAGAAGAUGGGUUAAUCCUUAUCCUUCACUCAACC
rnacentral:lncRNA from 1 species